GGUAGUCCACGCCGUAAACGAUGGCCACUAGGUGUGGGGGUAUCGACCCCCUCCGCGCCGCAGCUAACGCGAUAAGUGGCCCGCCUGGGGAGUACGGCCGCAAGGCUAAAACUCAAAGGAAUUGACGGGGGCCCGCACAAGCAGCGGAGCGUGUGGUUUAAUUCGACGCAACGCGAAGAACCUUACCAGGGCUUGACAUGCCAUGUUCAGCCGGUGAAAGCCGGUGCUCCGCAAGGGGGGAAUGGCACAGGUGCUGCACGGCUGUCGUCAGCUCGUGCCGUGAGGUGUUGGGUUAAG
rnacentral:rRNA from 1 species